CUCUCUUUGGGGAGAUUUUCUGGGUAAUAGAAAAUUUUAAAAUGUUAAAGAGUGUUGUAGACUCCGAAAAUGUUUUUAUCUAGUAUGUGUCUUAAGUUGGGAAGAUGCCCAGGAAAUGCAGGCAGCCGGUAGCCUUAAGAAGGAGUGUGCUGUGAAACUGCCAGAGGCAUGCAGCAUUGGUGAUGGAAAGCCCUUUGUCAUGAAUCUGCAGAAUCUGUAUAUGGCAGUCACCAAACAAGAGGUCCAAGUGGGACAGAAGCAUCAAGGCACUGGAGAUCCUCAUACCUCAAACAGUGCUUCCCUGCAAGGAAUCGAUAGCCAAUGUGUAAACCAGCCAGAACAACUGGUCUCCUCAGCCCCAACCCUCUCAGCACCUGAGAAAGAGUCCACGGGUACUUCAGGCCCUCUGCAGAGACCUCAGCUGUCAAAGGUCAAGAGGAAGAAGCCAAGGGGUCUCUUCAGUUAAUCUGUUGUGGCCUCAGCUGCUGAGGAUGGACUUGGAGAAUAGCUUCCAAGCUUCACCUUGAAAGAAGCUUACGUGGCAGCAAUAUUUCU
rnacentral:sRNA from 1 species